AAGAAUCUCUGAGAAAACAUUUCUACAUACCAAGAUUGUCCAACUUGACUCAGGUCAUUGUACGUAGAUGUGUAACGUGUGCUAAAAAUAAUGCAAGACAAGGACCAGUAAAGCCACCAGGAGUCCAGUUUAUGGGGGGACUUCCCAUGUCCGAUUUACAAAUUGACUAUACAGUGAUGCCUAAAUCGGGUGGACAUCGCUACCCGCUGGUAGUGGU